AGCAAAGCAGUUUUGCAGAAUUUCCAGUGUCGGAAUCACUUCAGAAAAUUUUCCUUUAGGAUGGUGGAGCUCUUCAUAUUGGGUUGCACUGGAAUCGUCGCCUUCCUUCACGGCGCCAAUUUCUUCUUCAACUUUCUCUCCCGUCCCCUUCGUUUUCGAUCUCUCAGUUUCUUGGGUUUCGUCGGGUGAUUUAUCUCUUCUUGAAGAAAAUAAGAAAGCAGAAAAUAAAUUGAAUCUGCACGCAAAAGUCAUUCAGAUCUGAGACUCUGUUGUUAGUCGUUGUUGUUGCUCGCAUGGAGCUUCAAGAUUUCUGUGAAUAUCUUAUUGUGUAAAUUUGUAAAUACGACGAUGAACGACAAUAAGGCAAGUAAACUCCUGUAAUUAAUAGAUUCGUUUUAUUUUCAAUUUCAAGCGGCUUUGCAAUUGAAGGAUUGGACUAUAUGCCAAACUGGACUUUUUUUAUUAUUUGGAUAUGGAUUACGAUUUGCCGUGUUCCUUGCUCAUUCAAGAAAUUCCAGGAAAGGACAGGAAACGUAAUUUUUCAAUCAUCACUCAAUCAUUAGUAUUAAUUAUAAACUGGGGAAAUUGGAUUA